UACGUAGGCAGCGAGCGUUGUUCGGAGUUACUGGGCGUAAAGAGUGCGUAGGCGGUUUUCUAAGUUUGGUGUGAAAUCUCCCGGCUUAACUGGGAGGGUGCGCCGAAGACUGGAAGGCUUGAGUAUGGGAGAGGUAAGCGGAAUUCCUGGUGUAGCGGUGAAAUGCGUAGAUAUCAGGAGGAACACUGCGGUGUAGACGGCUUACUGGACCAUAACUGACGCUGAGGCACGAAAAGCGUGGGUAGCAAACAGG
rnacentral:rRNA from 1 species